GCUCGUUCCUGGAAUCCAGAGGCACCGUGAUGAAAACACCGAUGAGGAGCAAGUCUACACCCGCAGGGCGAUCGCUAAGCCUGACACUAAGGCCAAAGCCAGAAAGGAAAAGACGGACAGAUAACGCCCCACCGCUGACGGAGAGCCUGCCUAACUGCAUACACCAAGCAAAGUAGACGAAACCCAAAAAGAGGUA